UGUUGUGGUAAUGGGCCAACUCUGGUCUAAAUCCCAGGUCCGAUGGCCUGCCUCACUGUAGGACCACCCAUAUAGAAACAUAGAAUAGAAUGCACAUAUACAUUGUUGGGGUAAUGAGCCAACUCUGGCCUAAACCAUAGGUCCAAUGGCCUACCUCACUGUGAGACCUAUAUAAAUAGAAUUUCCAUUAUUGAGUGUCCAAAAACUGCCUCGGUGGGGUCUGGAUGGUAGCACCCUGGGUGUUAGGGUAAUCGGCCAGCCCGAAACUCCGGGUCUUUAUGGCUUUUCCCGCUUCGGCAAAAUGCGGUACCCGCUCGAAAGAAAUGGUUGCCGUUUAUAGUUGAAAUUAUUUAUAUUUGUUGUUUUUAUUGAUCGUAAACAACUGCAUUACAAAUAUGCUCAGUUAUUCCAUUAGAUUAGUUUGCUAUAAACAACAAUUAUGGCAUUGGCCACCAGUUCUCACAAAAGCACAGAAUAUACGAUUAAAUUACUUUCAACGAAUGAAGGAUCUCACUGAUUUUAUAUUUCAUUCUGUUUCUUUAGCGGUAAUAAUACCAGAGUAUACGAAA